rnacentral:rRNA from 1 species
GCCAACAUCCAAAUUAUAGGGGUGCCAGAAGAAGAGAGAGAGCAAGAUAUUGAAAACCUAUUUGGGUUGGGCCUGGUUAGUACUUGGAUGGAAGACCGCCUGGGAAUACCAGGUGCUGUAGACA